CCUACGGGAGGCAGCAGUAGGGAAUAUUGCUCAAUGGGCGAAAGCCUGACGCAGCAACGCCGCGUGAAGGAUGAAGGUCUUCGGAUCGUAAACCUCUUUCGUCAGAGAAGAACAGUCCCUUUUCUAAUCAACAAUGAAUUGACGGUACCGGCAAAGGAGGCGCCGUCUAACUCCGUGCCAGCAGCCUCGUUAAUACGGCGGGGGCGAGCGUUAGUCGGGAUUACUGGGCGUAAAGCGCGCGUAGGCGGGAUAUCAAGUCAAGUGUGAAAUCCCCUGGCUUAACGUGGGAACUGCAUUUGAAACUGGUAAACUGGAGUGUGUGAGAGGUAAGUGGAAUUCUAGGUGUAGGAGUGAAAUCCGUAGAGAUCUGGAGGAAUA
rnacentral:rRNA from 1 species